GAAGGGAACAAUGGCGUCAGCUCGCACAAAGCGACGAACCGAGAGGACUCUGACGGAAUGACGAGGAAAACACCGACGCUUGCGAAAGGGAAAACAGACUGCACUGAGUAAGACUUGUAUACUUGCGAACGCCAACCGUUUGACGGUUCUUCUUCAAUCAUCCGGCCAAACGUAGUGCACCAUUCAUGCGAAAGGAAAUAAUUACAUGAUCAAUAGGAACUUAAUCGCUCGCCUAAUUUUGUCCCUGACUGUACCAGUUCACUUAUACACGCAUACUACGAUACGUCUAACAAAACCGUCACGUGACUAUAGCGUCGACUAUUUUAAAUCACAGUUGCGAUUGUUCCGCGCAACGAUUAUUUUGGCAACCUCUAUCGAAUAUGAAUGAUCGCUUUUCAUUGAAAAACAAAUAAAAUAAGGGAUGGAUAAAAAUCGAAAUUUCGAUUUACAAUGUAUAUAUUUCGUUAAUAGAGAAAGAAGAAACAACAUUUCUGAAAUUCCUGAUUAUCCUCGUGAAUACGAAUCUGAAAAAUAGCAGACACCCACGUAGAGCCUUAAAAUUGAAAUGCGAUGCAAAGUAAUUUUGUAAUUUUCAAUAUAAAACUACCAUAAUUGAAAUUUAAAAAAUUGUGAUUUAAUUAAAUUCAGUAUGCUCUCAUUUGCAAUUUAAACAAAUCAUAACUAUAGAGACUGAUACAUUUAUUAGAAGAAUUUCAGACUUUCCUUUGUUCGACUUCUGGUCAGUUAAAGUUGGCAUGAAACUAUAGCCACAAAUAUUCAAGGUCAGAGAUCUACAAUAUAGAUAGAUAUGAUAUGAUCGACUUGUAUCGUUAUCAAAAAGGGCUUUACUUUAUAAAUAAUGAUUAAUCAGAAUUAUUUUGUCUCUAUACGCAAGAGCAAUAAUCGCCAACAAUAGCCGAUCUGUAGAUGAUUUAAUACAAGAGAUUAUGCAAGUCAUUCACAAUAUCUCAUUGCACUAUGUAUGCACUGUUGAAUCUAUCUAAACUUAAUAAAAUAUACAAUCUUCUUAUUCAUAGAAUGAUCGAUCAAUCAUUUUUAAUAAAUAAUGGAAAUAAUUGAAAAAUUUGUCUGCUGGUUAAUUUAAUUUCGCAAGAAUUUUCAAAUUUGAAACACGAAAUAUCUGUAGGAUAGCAUUUUUAGAUAGUAAAAAGACCAUAAUUAUUACGGACCACGCAGUUGUGCGAGUAAGGCCUCAUUCUUGCGACAUUCAAUAGUCAGUUGCCUAACAGCAGCCACGUAUUUCCGUUGCUGUUCUAUCAAAGACGCGAGAAUACGACUAAGUGCAUCCCUUCUGUAUUUUUCAUCUGCACACCGUUUCUCCACCUGGAAUUCAAUAAUGAUUUAUAAAAAUUGUAUGCACGAAUAAAUAAACAAUUUGAAAUUAA